CUCUCUCAAAAAUAAAUAAACAUUGAAAAAAUAUAAAAAUCUUUAUAAAAAGAAAAAAUUUACGUUAGCUGUGAAAGCUUAGCAAAAAAUGGGCGAAACCCUCUUGUGCUUUGAAUUAUGGGUAACAAAAUAUCUCUGUCAUGUUUCAUAUGCUUUUGGCCAUUAUUGCCUGGGAACAUCUAGAAAGAAAUGAGCUCAGAAAGAAAUGUGUUAAUAAAGGUACAUUCUAUUACUGGUGAAAAAAAAAAUGAAUGUCUUGUUCAGCGGGAAGAAGGGUAGGAGAUAGAAAAGAUGCGUGAACUUCAAGGUAAGGUGUACAGGUAGAUUUCUACUCAUUUCAAUGAAGAAAUAAGAACUUGGAGACACACUUUGUAACAAAAAUUUUUUGCAUAGUUAAGAAACGCAAAAAUCAAACCUGGGUCGUGAUUUAAAAUUUGGUUUAUGGCAAUGAUCACAUUAAAAAUUCUACCAAUAAAUCAUUCCUCAAGUAUUCUUGUAAAUUGCCACAGAAAAAAAUGAAGCAUGCUUUUGUCACAGACAACUGAUAAGCUCAAGAUAUUUUAGCUGAGAGACAGAAAAAUUAGGCAUAAUGAAUUGGGGGAUGGGCUAAUUCCACCUGGAAAUAAAUGGAAUCAGGUUAAUUGGUUUGUAUUUGUGUGUGUUUUCCUUUGUGUUUUUCUUUACUGUAGUCUCUAGGGUCCCUACAAAUGAGGCCAAGCAAGAUAAGGGACAUUCAAGGAUCUGGUGUGGGGACUUCAGCCAGGAAGCAGAAAUUGAUCUAAUGCUCAGUUAAAAGUCUACCCCAAAACGUCUUCCCAGCUGAAUCUUGUUACUGCUCUGUUCCAAUGGGUGCAGUCUUUAUAUAAGAGUGUGUUUGCUACAUGGGUCUGUUCCCUAUUCCAACUGGCUCAUAGCAUGGGCUUUUGUUCUUUGAUGCCUUUUUUUUUUUUUUUUUAAGUUUAUUUGUUUAUUUUGAGAGAUAGAGAAUCCCAAGCAGGCUCUGCACCAUCAGCAUGGAGCCGGUGCGGGGCUUGAACCCAUGAUCAGUGUUGUCGUGACCUGAGUUGGACCCUUAACUGACUGAACCACCCAGGUGCCCCCGUUCUUUGAUAUCUUUUUUUUUUUUUAAUUUUUAAAAAUGUUUAUUUAUUUUUGAGACAGAGAGAGACAGAACAUGAAUGGGGGAGGGUCAGAGAGAGAGGGAGACACAGAAUCUGAAUCAGGCUCCAGGCUCUGAGCUGUCAGCAUAGAGCCCGACAUGGGGCUCGAACUCACGGACGGUGAGAUCAUGACCUGAGCAGAAGUCGGACGCUUAACUGGCUGAGCCACCCAGGCGCCCCUGUUCUUUGAUAUCUUGAUGAAGGAGUUAUAUUGGGAUCUUCUAGUUGCUUUGAGUGUCAGUGGAGGUUUUGGCUUGGAAAAUACUUCAUAUUGUGUCUGGUGGAGAAAGGUAAGAUAAUUUUGUAUACUUUAGGGAUGGAAGCUAAUCUUGACCAACUAAAUGAACCACCAUAUAUUGAAGAAGGGCCACUUAUUUCACAUCCACCCUCAUGGCACCAGCCCAGUCAGGUCAUAUCUUCCGAGGGGACUAUACUUCACAAAUUGAUUUUAGUCUUUGCCCUGUGAUUUCUUUCAGCCAGUGAGAUACGAGCGGCCUAAUGAAGCCGUCUAUACCAUCUCUGAGCAGAAUCCUCCCAUCGUUUUGGGCCAUUCCUCUUUUCUCACUACUAUGAGCCUGUCCUAGAUAAUGAUGAUCCCAUUAACCUGAAUCCCAGAAGGAUGAGAGAUAGACUUUUGUUGAGCAGCUGUAGCCUGGAGGGUCUUAGCCCUGAGUGGGGUGCCAGCGGCCACUGUCAAACCCUGCUCCUGGUCCUGCUUGUUCCUUGCUGAUCCCCCCCAUCCCCCAGUCCUCCAUGGUUUGGCUGCUGUUGCCUUUGCAGAAGGACCUUAUAGGAUUUCCACUUAUGCCCAGUGAUUUUGGGACUUGAUAAAAUUCAACGUUAUCACUGAAUCCUGCUGUUCUAAAAUCUGAGGCUCCUUGCUGUCUGGGUGCUACAAGAAGAAAUGAAACACCCUAAGUCAUAGAGGCUAUAAUCUGCGACUAAGUAUAAAGGCACCAACACAAUUCAUUCUUCAAGAUACCUUUUGACAAGUAAUUUUGUCGAGGAUGGAAUCUCCUUGUUAGGGUAAUAAUAUCACAGGUAAACUCAGUUUCUUUUUUGUUAUAUUGCCUUUUUAUAUUUUCAAAACAUCUUUACUUUCUGUUGGUUGUAAAAGUGUAAAAAAAACUGAUGUAAAAUAUACACUUGUGAUAUAAUAAAAUUAACAAAGUUUAAAGGGAAAACUUACUUAAUCUUACUUGAAGAGAUAAAACUACCCACAAUUUGUUAUGCAAAGUUCUUUAGAAUGUAAAGAGCCUCCACUAACUAUGUUCUCUGGUAAUACACUU